GCACGCAUAGCUCAGCGGUUAGAGUGCUUGUAUCACACACAAGAGGUCCCUGGUUCGAAUCCAGGUGCGUGCA
rnacentral:tRNA from 1 species